GAUGAAGAACGCAGCGAAACGCGAUAAGUAAUGUGAAUUGCAGAAUUUAGUGAAUCAUCGAAUCUUUGAACGCACAUUGCGCCCGCCAGUAUUCUGGCGGGCAUGCCUGUUCGAGCGUCAUUUCAACCAUCAAGCCCCAGGCUUGUGUUGGGGGCCUGCAGCUGCUGCAGCCCCCUAAAAGCAGUGGCGGACUCGCUGUCAUACCGAGCGCAGUAGUUACAUCUCGCUCUGGGCAUGGCGGCGGGCACCUGCCGUAAAACACUCUUUCUAAGGUUGACCUCGGAUCAGGUAGGAAUACCCGCUGAACUUAAGCAUAUCAAUAAGCGGAGGA
rnacentral:misc_RNA from 1 species